GCCUGGAUAGCUCGAUUGGUUAGAGCGUGGUGCUGAUAAUGCCAAGGUUGCAUGUUCAAUCCCCAUAAGGGACA